rnacentral:piRNA from 1 species
UACAAGUUAAUUUUUGCAACACACCUUGC